rnacentral:rRNA from 1 species
AGAGUUUGAUCCUGGCUCAGAUUGAACGCUGGCGGCAGGCCUAACACAUGCAAGUCGAGCGAGAAAGCACUUCGGUGUGAGUAGAGCGGCGGACGGGUGAGUAACGCGUAGGAAUCUACCGAGUAGUGGGGGACAACAUGUGGAAACGCAUGCUAAUACCGCAUACGCCCUACGGGGGAAAGGGGGCUCUUUGAGCUCUCGCUAUUCGAUGAGCCUGCGUGAGAUUAGCUAGUUGGUGAGGUAAAGGCUCACCAAGGCGACGAUCUCUAGCUGGUCUGAGAGGAUGAUCAGCCACAUCGGGACUGAGACACGGCCCGAACUCCUACGGGAGGCAGCAGUGGGGAAUAUUGCACAAUGGGCGAAAGCCUGAUGCAGCCAUGCCGCGUGUGUGAAGAAGGCUCUAGGGUUGUAAAGCACUUUCAGAGGGGAGGAAAAGUUGAGUGUUAAUACCACUUAGCCCUGACGUUACCCUCAGAAGAAGCACCGGCUAACUCCGUGCCAGCAGCCGCGGUAAUACGGAGGGUGCAAGCGUUAAUCGGAAUUACUGGGCGUAAAGCGCGCGUAGGCGGCUUGUUAAGUCAGCUGUGAAAGCCCCGGGCUCAACCUGGGAAUUGCAGUUGAUACUGGCAGGCUAGAGUACAGUAGAGGGUGGUAGAAUUUCUCGUGUAGCGGUGAAAUGCGUAGAUAUAAGAAGGAAUACCAGUGGCGAAGGCGGCCACCUGGACUGAUACUGACGCUGAGGUGCGAAAGCGUGGGGAGCGAACAGGAUUAGAUACCCUGGUAGUCCACGCCGUAAACGAUGUCUACUAGCCGUUGGAGGUCUUGAAUCUUUAGUGGCGCAGCUAACGCAAUAAGUAGACCGCCUGGGGAGUACGGCCGCAAGGUUAAAACUCAAAUGAAUUGACGGGGGCCCGCACAAGCGGUGGAGCAUGUGGUUUAAUUCGAUGCAACGCGAAGAACCUUACCAUCUCUUGACAUCCUGCGAACUUGGUAGAAAUACCUUGGUGCCUUCCGGAACCCAAUGACAAGGGCUGCAUGGCUGUCCUCACCCCCUGUUGUGAAAAGUUUGGGUUAAAUCCCGUAACAAAGGCAACCCUUUGUCCUUAUUUUGCAUCCAGGUAAUGCUGGGGAAUCUUAAAGAGAAUCGCCGGUGUUACAACCACAAGGAAAGUGUGGGGCGACGGCCAUCUCUUCUUUGCCCUUUCCAAAUAGGGUUACACACUUUU